UCCAGCCACUGCCGACGUCUCCGUGAAGAAGGCCUUUUGGUUCGGCUAAUGCACUUUAAGCGAGGAGGAGGCUACUUGGAUUAAUACUCUCGGAUAGUAGACUGUUACUCGCAGAAUAAGCACCGGCUAACUCUGUGCCAGCAGCCGCGGUAAUACAGAGGGUGCGAGCGUUAAUCGGAUUUACUGGGCGUAAAGCGUGCGUAGGCGGCUUUUUAAGUCGGAUGUGAAAUCCCUGAGCUUAACUUAGGAAUUGCAUUCGAUACUGGGAAGCUAGAGUAUGGGAGAGGAUGGUAGAAUUCCAGGUGUAGCGGUGAAAUGCGUAGAGAUCUGGAGGAAUACCGAUGGCGAAGGCAGCCAUCUGGCCUAAUACUGACGCUGAGGUACGAAAGCAUGGGGAGCAAACAGGAUUAGAUACCCUGGUAGUCCAUGCCGUAAACGAUGUCUACUAGCCGUUGGGGCCUUUGAGGCUUUAGUGGCGCAGCUAACGCGAUAAGUAGACCGCCUGGGGAGUACGGUCGCAAGACUAAAACUCAAAUGAAUUGACGGGGGCCCGCACAAGCGGUGGAGCAUGUGGUUUAAUUCGAUGCAACGCGAAGAACCUUACCUGGUCUUGACAUAGUAAGAACUUUCCAGAGAUGGAUUGGUGCCUUCGGGAACUUACAUACAGGUGCUGCAUGGCUGUCGUCAGCUCGUGUCGUGAGAUGUUGGGUUAAGUCCCGCAACGACAGCAACCCUUUUCCUUAUUUGCCAGCGGGUUAAGCCGGGAACUUUAAGGAUACUGCCAGUGACAAACUGGAGGAAGGCGGGGACGACGUCAAGUCAUCAUGGCCCUUACGACCAGGGCUACACACGUGCUACAAUGGUCGGUACAAAGGGUUGCUACCUAGCGAUAGGAUGCUAAUCUCAAAAAGCCGAUCGUAGUCCGAAUUGGAGUCUGCAACUCGACUCCAUGAAGUCGGAAUCGCUAGUAAUCGCGGAUCAGA
rnacentral:rRNA from 1 species